rnacentral:rRNA from 1 species
UACAGAGGGUGCGAGCGUUAAUCGGAAUUACUGGGCGUAAAGCGCGCGUAGGCGGCUUUUCAAGUCGAUUGUGAAAUCCCCGGGCUCAACCUGGGAACUGCAGUCGAGACUGUCUAGCUAGAGUAUGGGAGAGGGAAGUGGAAUUUCAGGUGUAGCGGUGAAAUGCGUAGAGAUCGGGAGGAACACCAGAGGCGAAGGCGGCGACCUGGACGAAUACUGACACUCAACUGCGAAAGCGUGGGGAGCAAACAGG